rnacentral:rRNA from 1 species
GAUGAACGCUGGCGGCGUGCCUAAUACAUGCAAGUCGAGCGAACAGACGAGGAGCUUGCUCCUCUGACGUUAGCGGCGGACGGGUGAGUAACACGUGGAUAACCUACCUAUAAGACUGGGAUAACUUCGGGAAACCGGAGCUAAUACCGGAUAAUAUAUUGAACCGCAGGGUUCAAUAGUGAAAGACGGUUUUGCUGUCACUUAUAGAUGGAUCCGCGCCGCUUUAGCUGGUUGGUAAGGUAACGGCUUACCAAGGCAACGAUGCGUAGCCGACCGGAGAGGCUGAUCGCCCACACUGGAACUGAGCCACGGUCCAGACUCCUACGGGAGGCAGCAGUAGGGAAUCUUCCGCAAUGGGCGAAAGCCUGACGGAGCAGCGCCGCGUGAGUGAUGAAGGUCUUCGGAUCGUAAAACUCUGUUAUUAGUGAAGAACAAAUUUGUAAGUAACUAUGCACGUCUUGACGGUACCUAAUCAGAAAGCCACGGCUAACUACGUG